rnacentral:lncRNA from 10 species
CCCAAGCCCUGCUUUUGGCCCCAAAGUGGCCUGUCUCUGCCUCAGUGCUCAGCUCCCUGCCUUUGGGGUUGUGAGCCCCAAAGUUCACUCUGCUGGCUGACUUGGCCCAGAUUCCCUACCUGGCUACCCCACCCCACCAAGGUUAUCCCUUAUUGUACUUGUUCCUCACCCGCCCUCACUGCAGGUCAUUCAGCAGGUGUUUAGUGAGCACCUACUAUGUGCAAGGCACAGGAUUUUAGCCACUGGGGACACAGCAAUGUGCAAAACAAACUCCGGCCCUCGGGGGCACCGGCCAGUCCAAGAGAGCCUCUGAACACACAGAAAUGUCCACUUCUACCUUGGGAGGUGGGGACAAGGAGGUGCAGAGAGUGGACGGGACCAGGACUCUGGGCCUAAGGGACCAUGAGGUAGUGGGAGGCCAGGCAGAGGAGUCCGUGAGCCCUGAGAGGAGCAUCAUUUCUGGUUAAGUGUCCCGGCAACUGGGGAAGAUUUUUACUUUAAUUUUUUUUGACAUAGGGUCUGUUGCCCAGGCUGGAAUGCAGUGGCGCCAUCAUAGCUCCCUGCAGCCUCUCACUCCUGGGCUCAAGGGAUCCUCCCACCUCAGCCUCCUGAGUAGCUAGGACCCUAGGCAUGUAUCGCCACAUCUAACUAAUUUUUUUUUUUUUUUUUGAGUGGAGAUGGGGUCUCACAAUGUUGCCCAGGCUGGUCUGGAGAUGUGGUCUCACUAUGUUGGGCAGGCUGGUCUUGAACUCCUGGCCUCAAGUGAUCCUCCCUCCUCAGCCUCCCAAAGUGCUGGGAGUACAGGUGUGAGCCACUGUGCCCAGCCUGGGGAAGGGUUUUAUGAGGAAGGUGAUGGCAUUGCCCUGGGGCCCUGGGUCUGGUUCAGGAUUGGCCAGGGUGAAUCAGGUGAGGGGCUCAUCCUGGAGGGCCAUGGGAGAUGGGUUGUUAAACAGACUCCACCCCUGCUCCAGGCAGUGUGGUCGCCAUGAUGUAAUCAGACUCCCCAGGCACAGCUCAGAGGGGUGGGCAUGGAGGGCUUCC